rnacentral:rRNA from 1 species
ACGAACGCUGGCGGCAUGCCUAACACCUGCCAGUCGAACGAGACCUUCGGGUCUAGUGGCGCACGGGUGCGUAACGCGUGGGAACCUGCCCUUAGGUUCGGAAUAACUCCCCGAAAGGGGUGCUAAUACCGGAUAAUGUCUUCGGACCAAAGAUUUAUCGCCUGUGGAUGGGCCCGCGUUGGAUUAGCUAGUUGGUAGGGUAAAAGCCUACCAAGGCGACGAUCCAUAGCUGGUCUGAGAGGAUGAUCAGCCACACUGGGACUGAGACACGGCCCAGACUCCUACGGGAGGCAGCAGUGGGGAAUAUUGGACAAGGGGCGAAAGCCUGAUCCAGCAAUGCCGCGUGAGUGAUGAAGGCCUUAGGGUUGUAAAGCUCUUUUACCCGGGAUGAUAAUGACAGUACCGGGAGAAUAAGCUCCGGCUAACUCCGUG